rnacentral:rRNA from 1 species
GACAGAGGCCCCGAGCGUUAGUCGGAAUUACUGGGCUUAAAGGGUGCGUAGGCGGGCGUGUAAGUGCUUUGUGAAAGCCCUGGGCUCAACCCAGGAACCGCAGGGCAUACUGCACGUCUCGAAGGAGCUAGAGGCCGGUGGAACGAUCGGUGGAGCGGUGGAAUGCGUAGAGAUCGAUCGGAACGCCAAGGGUGAAGACAACCGGCUGGGGCUCUCUUGACGCUGAGGCACGAAAGCGUGGGGAUCAAACAGG